UCGAUCAAUUGAGCCGGCCUUUCGUCUAUUGGGCCGUCUCGGAAUUGCCGUCUCAGCAACAAGUAGGGUUUUGCUCCCGCAAACUAAGCCGCCUCGCGACGCUCAGCAGCCAUGGCGUCUCGCUGUUGCUCGAUCUCGAGACCCGCUCUUUCCUUCCUCAAGCACGCGGCCAAGAGACCCGCGCGUACUUUUGUCGCCCCGAAUGCUUCCUCUCUUCCUUGUCCUCCGUCACGAAGUGUUUAUCGGGAAUUGGGGUCGCUUCGGACCCUCCUGCCGCUCCACAGCGCGGUUUCUUCAGCUCGGUUGAUCUCGAGGCUUGGGAUCGAUGCCUGCGGGAGCUCCUCGUCGAGGUCCUUGUCCCAGGGUACGCUCUGCGGCUCCGACCCCGGUGUCUGAUCUCCCAAGAUGUGUUCUUUUUCGCUUGGUUGAAGCUGGGUCUUUCGGUGCCUCGAUAAAAGAUCUUGCAGCAUUAGAGCUGAGUCUUUCGGUGCCUUGAUAAAAGAUCUUGCAGCAUUAGGUGAAGUUUGCAUCCAUCUUUGUCCCUCUGAUGGGAUCAUGGUCAUUUAUCUUUUAUGAACGGUUCACGCAAGUUCUGAUACAAUAAGGAUUAGUCAUAGACAUUCUAUAGCUUGCCUCCAACUUGUAGUGCACGAUACAUUUGCUGUAAUUUACUUUCUUACUUCACAUUUGUUACUUCUUCA